rnacentral:lncRNA from 1 species
UUGGAGCAUCAAUUUCAGAAACAGAACAUCAUAAAAUUUUCUUCUCCUUUUGAAAACUUAUUCUGCAAAACAAAGCAAUGGAGCUUUUGGUACCUGAUGGGUGUCGCCGCCCAAUCAAAUUUGAUUGCAUAAUAAGAAAUGCAGUAUAGCUAGGGAGUGACCCCUAGGUCGUCUCUCAAGGACCAACUACGGUUCAGAAUCAAGUCAAACAUGAAGGAGGGGGUUGUGAAAGGUUUGCGUGGUGAAUGCGGAAAAAUUAAAAUGAAAUUAAAACAGUAAAAACGAAAAUUCACGCUGGAACUAGGCAACUCUGACCUUUGCUCAAUGUUUUAACCAUAACUUUUUCUACAGAGCUCUAAAUGAGAUGAGGUUUUUUUUCCUGGAAAGUAGACUCAAUUAUCUUUCAUUUAGUAUAUAAAACGUAGCAUUUGGAGCUCUGGUCUGGUUGCAGUUAUUUUUUUAAAAUCGAGUCCAGAAAGUGAAAAUGCUAAACCAAAUACUAGACUAAACAAAUAUCUAAACACAGUUAAAUUAAAUUAAAUGCAAAACUAAAUUAAAGAAAUUAAACACAACUAAUCCUAAUAUGCAAACUAAUUAAAAAGCAAAAGAAACAAACAUGUAUUUUUUUUUCUCACGUGCCCAAGUACUUUCACCUAAUGAAAUUAAAAUUGAAAUGGCCCAAAGAAUAAACCUUUGCCGUGAAAUUGUUGCAGCCAAUUCAAUGCUCCAAAAUCAAAGUCAUCUAACUUCUACAAAACGUGGCAGUAACGUAUGCAACCACUCAUUCUCCAAGAGAAGCAACCCGUGGCAUCCAAUCUGAAUUAAAUCACCGUGCAAAGUCUCUCCAGCUGUGAAUCAAUGGUCUCCAAAAACGUUAAAAUAAAAAGCAAAAGAGGAUGUAGCGUAACCACUUGGGAGCUCUCCCUUCNAGACUUUGCUGCACUCAUUUCAAUCAAUUGGAAACUCCAAAGCUAAUAAAACAAAGCUGCAGCAUUUUACAUCAUGGAAAGGAAACAAAAAAAUGCUUCUCUCAUUUAGCCAUGAAAACCGUAAGCUCAAAUUAUAUUCUCCACCAAAGAAAAGCGUAAAAGCCAGGAAAAAAAAAUGAACAUAAGAGUAUGUAACGACUGCAGCACAAGUUGAAAGGAAAAGAAAAAUUAGCAUAUUUCAUCCAAUCCCUGAAAGAACCGUGAACCACAUUUCAGCAUCCAUUUCCAAACCUUCCAGCCCCCCAGAAUCUAAAUUCCCGAGAGUGAGUCUCCUCUCUUUGAAAUGUGACGGCUGCAGCUCAAUUUUAGCUAGGCCAUGUGUCCUAAAAUUAGGGUGGGGUCCACCCUAAAAACCCUAGGAUAAGUGUCCUACAAUUUUGGGUCUUUCACAAUUUUUUAACAAUGGCCCACUGUGCAAAGGUUUGUCCAAAAAGUUUAAACAAUAAAAAUACAAUAUANCUAAAAUUUAAAAUCUCUAAUUGGAGAGUCUUGAAUUUAUUUAGUGUCCUCCAAAUGUCCCAAAUUGUAUUUCCAAAAUUUUCCCUGCAAAUAAUAAUGCAAAUAAUUAGCUCAAAAAAUUCAAAUUAAUUAAAAUUAGAAUUUCCGGUCAAAUUAAGCAUAUUUAGGAAAAACGGGAAAAUACCGGACAAUUAAACACAAUUCCCCGAUUAAUUCUAGCACAAUAAACUAAGUAAAGUCGAGAAAAUAUUGACUCAUCA